UACAGAGGUCCCAAGCGUUGUUCGGAUUCACUGGGCGUAAAGGGUGCGCAGGUGGGUUUGCAAGUUCGAUGUGAAAGCCCCGGGCUUAACCCGGGAAUGGCAUUGGAUACUGCAGAUCUGGAGGAUCGGAGGGGGGACUGGAAUUCUUGGUGUAGCGGUGAAAUGCGCAGAUAUCAGGAGGAACACCGGUGGCGAAGGCGGGUCUCUGGGCCGAUACUGACGCUGAGGAGCGAAAGCGUGGGGAGCGAACAGG
rnacentral:rRNA from 1 species